rnacentral:rRNA from 1 species
UACAGAGGGUGCAAGCGUUAAUCGGAAUUACUGGGCGUAAAGCGUGCGCAGACGGUUGCGUAAGUCAGAUGUGAAAGCCCCGGGCUCAACCUGGGAAUUGCAUUUGAGACUGCGUAGCUAGGGUGCGGAAGAGGGAAGCGGAAUUCCCGGUGUAGCAGUGAAAUGCGUAGAGAUCGGGAGGAACAUCUGUGGCGAAGGCGGCCAUCUGGACCAGCACUGACACUGAGGCACGAAAGCGUGGGGAGCAAACAGG